GUGCUUGCUUUGGCAGCACGUAUUCUAAAAUUGGAAUGAUACAGAAAAGAUUAGCAUGACCCCAGCGCAAGGAUGACACUCAAAUUCAUGAAACGUUCCAUAUUUUU